GAUGAACGCUAGCGGGAGGCCUAACACAUGCAAGCCGAGCGGUAGAGUUUCUUCGGAAACUUGAGAGCGGCGCACGGGUGCGUAACACGUGUGCAACCUACCUUUAUCUGGGGGAUAGCCUUUCGAAAGGAAGAUUAAUACCCCAUAAUAUAAUGAUUGGCAUCAAUUAUUAUUGAAAACUCCGGUGGAUAGAGAUGGGCACGCGCAAGAUUAGAUAGUUGGUGAGGUAACGGCUCACCAAGUCAAUGAUCUUUAGGGGUCCUGAGAGGGAGAUCCCCCACACUGGUACUGAGACACGGACCAGACACCUACGGGAGGCAGCAGUGAGGAAUAUUGGACAAUGGGUGAGAGCCGGAUCCAGCCAUCCCGCGUGAAGGAUGACGGUCCUAUGGAUUGUAAACUUCUUUUGUACAGGGAUAAACCUACCCUCGUGAGGGUAGCUGAAGGUACGGUACGAAUAAGCACCGGCUAACUCCGUGC
rnacentral:rRNA from 1 species